GACGAACCGUCCAAACGUUAUUCGGAAUCACUGGGCUUAAAGGGUGCGUAGGCGGUCCGUUAAGUUGGGUGUGAAAGACCUCGGCUCAACCGAGGAAUGGCGCCCAAAACUGCCGGACUUGAGCAAGGCAGAGGUGAACGGAACUUAGGGUGGAGCGGUGAAAUGCGUUGAUAUCCUAAGGAACACCAGUAGCGAAAGCGGUUCACUGGGCCUUUUCUGACGCUGAUGCACGAAAGCCAGGGGAGCGAACGGG
rnacentral:rRNA from 1 species